ACACCGGUGGUGAAGUGGAAUCACACUUACAAUCAUGGCGUCUUGGACCUCAUUGAUGCUAAGAGGCAAGGGUUCGAAUCCCUUCCAGUGUA